AGCACGGGAGCAAUCCUGGUGGCGAGUGGCGAACGGGUGAGUAAUAUAUCGGAACGUGCCCAGUCGUGGGGGAUAACGCAGCGAAGGCUGUGCUAAUACCGCAUACGAUCUCUGGAUGAAAGCGGGGGACUCGCAAGAGCCUCGCGCGAUUGGAGCGGCCGAUAUCAGAUUAGCUAGUUGGCGGGGUAAAAGCCCACCUAGGCGACGAUCUGUAGCAGGUCUGAGAGGACGACCAGCCACACUGGAACUGAGACACGGUCCAGACUCCUACGGGAGGCAGCAGUGGGGAAUUUUGGACAAUGGGCGAAAGCCCGAUCCAGCAAUGCCGCGUGCAGGAUGAAGGCCUUCGGGUUGUAAACUGCUUUUGUACGGAACGAAACGGUCUGCCCUAAUACGGUGGGCUAAUGACGGUACCGUAAGAAUAAGCACCGGCUAACUACGUGCCAGCAGCCGCGGUAAUACGUAGGGUGCGAGCGUUAAUCGGAAUUACUGGGCGUAAAGCGUGCGCAGGCGGUUAUAUAAGACAGAUGUGAAAUCCCCGGGCUCAACCUGGGACCUGCAUUCGUGACUGUAUAGCUAGAGUACGGUAGAGGGGGAUGGAAUUCCGCGUGUAGCAGUGAAAUGCGUAGAUAUGCGGAGGAACACCGAUGGCGAAGGCAAUCCCCUGGACCUGUACUGACGCUCAUGCACGAA
rnacentral:rRNA from 1 species